rnacentral:piRNA from 1 species
UGAAGAUCUCCUUUGAGGAUGUGCAGU